rnacentral:rRNA from 1 species
UACGAAGGGUGCUAGCGUUGUUCGGAUUUACUGGGCGUAAAGCGCAUGUAGGCGGACCAUUAAGUUGGGGGUGAAAUCCCGAGGCUCAACCUCGGAAUUGCCUCCAAAACUGUUGGUCUGGAGCAGAAGAGAGGCGAGUGGAAUUCCGAGUGUAGAGGUGAAAUUCGUAGAUAUUCGGAGGAACACCAGUGGCGAAGGCGACUCGCUGGCUUCUUGCUGACGCUGAGAUGCGAAAGCGUGGGGAGCAAACAGG